AGGUUGGCUUAGAAGCAGCCAUCCUUUAAAGAAAGCGUAACAGCUCACUGGUCUAGUGAUUCUGCGCGGAAAAUAUAACGGGGCUAAGAUGUACACCGAAGCUUUAGAUUCAAUUUUUAAUUGAGUGGUAGGAGAGCGUUCUAUUCAGCGUUGAAGGUAUACCGGUAAGGAGUGCUGGAGCGGACAGAAGUGAGAAUGCAGGCAUGAGUAGCGAUAAUUAAGGUGAGAAUCCUUAACGCCGAAAACCCAAGGUUUCCUACGCGAUGCUCGUCAUCGUAGGGUUAGUCGGGUCCUAAGUCGAGACUGAAAAGUGUAGACGAUGGCAAAUUGGUUAAUAUUCCAAUACCAACAUAUAAGCGCGAUGUGGGGACGCAUAGAGUUAAUCGAGGUCACUGAUGGAAUAGUGGCUCGAAGGACGUAGGCUGUUAAGUAGGCAAAUCCGCUUAACGUUAGACCGAGAUCUUACAGGCUCUUGACACUCUUCGGAGGAGAUGGAGAAUCGAUGAUACUGUCGUGCCAAGAAAAGCCACUAAGUUUAUUAUAUGUUGCCCGUACCGUAAACCGACACAGGUGGGUGGGAUGAGUAUUCUAAGGCGCGUGGAAGAACCCUCUUUAAGGAACUCUGCAAAAUAGCACCGUAUCUUCGGUAUAAGGUGUGCCUACUUUGGUAUAGAAACUUGCUUUCAAAAGCUGAAGAGGUUGCAACAAAGAGUCCCUCCCGACUGUUUACCAAAAACACAGCACUUUGCUAACACGUAAGUGGAUGUAUAAGGUGUGACGCCUGCCCGGUGCUCGAAGGUUAAUUGAUGAUGUCAGCGCAAGCGAAGCAUUUGAUCGAAGCCCGAGUAAACGGCGGCCGUAACUAUAACGGUCCUAAGGUAGCGAAAUUCCUUGUCAGUUAAAUACUGACCUGCAUGAAUGGCGUAACGAGAUGGGAGCUGUCUCAAAGAGGGAUCCAGUGAAAUUGUAGUGGAGGUGAAAAUUCCUCCUACCCGCGGAAAGACGGAAAGACCCCGUGCACCUUUACUACAGCUUGACACUGUAGCUUGGAUAUUCAUGUGCAGGAUAGGUGGGAGGCUAUGAUGACUAGACGCAAGUAGAGUCGGAGCCAUCCUUGAGAUACCACCCUUGAAUAUUUGAGUUACUAACUGCGUACAAUUAUCUUGUAUCAGGACAAUGUCUGGUGGGUAGUUUGACUGGGGCGGUCGCCUCCUAAAAAGUAACGGAGGCUUACAAAGGUUAGUUCAAAGCGGAUGGAAAUCGCUUGUUGAGUAUAAUGGCAUAAACUAGCUUGACUGUGAGACCUACAAGUCGAACAGAGACGAAAGUCGGUCAUAGUGAUCCGGUGGUUCUGCGUGGAAGGGCCAUCGCUCAAAGGAUAAAAGGUACGCCGGGGAUAACAGGCUGAUC
rnacentral:rRNA from 1 species